GUGGCCCACAGCAAACACACAGAAGCCUGUGCAGACACCAAGGGAUCAGAGCUCACUGUCCCAGGCCCCAGGCAGCUGUGGAAGAUGGAAGGGAGCAACGGCAGCCCCAGGAUUUGCUAGAUUCCUGUAGAUCGCUGGUCCCUGUGGACAAAGUGAUCUACAGAGCCCUGGAGGAACUGGAGAAGAAAUUUGACAUGACGGUACUGUGCGAAUUGUUCAAUGAGGUCAACAUGGAGAAGUACCCCGAUUUGAAUCUCAUUCGUAGAAGCUUUGAAUGUGGUAAUUGGGUUUUAUAUCGCUCCUUGAGAGCACAGUCCUUUUUGUUGUCAACAAAUGUAUAUUAAGCUUUUAUCAUGUGCCAUAUAUCAUGCAGAGCAAUUGAGGAUAUAACAGUUAACAAGACUACUGUGUCAUGAAUCAUAUGAAAACUUAUGACUAAUGGCUGACACACUCCAGAGCUCUGCCACUGGGCAUUUAGGCUCUCAGGACAAUAGGAGGCAUACCAUCAUCAGGCUAUGUAGAAGAGGGUAGGAUUAGAAGUGCUGAUUGUCAGUAGGGUAGCACUGUUGUGUCUCUCAGUGGGCAUUCUUACAUGGUGAGAGUGCUCUUGUCUCCCCAGCUAGGGAGGUGAGGGAUGUCUUCUGACUCCCCCUCCCCCCUUUUUUGAGACAGGGUUUCUCUAUGCGACUUUGGCUAUCCUGGAACUCAUUGUAUAGACCAGGCUAGCCUCCAGCUCCAGAUCUGCCUGCCUCUGCCUUCUGAGUGCUGGGACUAAAGGCGUAAGCCACAUGCUCAGGUGAUCCACUUAAAACUCAAAACACACUUCUCAUUAUUCCAGUUUUUCAUCUUGAACUUCAUGUCAUUUAUGAUUAUAAUAAUAAUUAUUAUUGACAGAAUCUUACUCUGUAACCCAACUUAGCUUGUUACUAUAUAGCUGAGCCUAGCCUUAAAUUCGUGCCACUCCUGUCUCAGCUUCCUGUGACUGCCUGGCUGACCAACAGCCUUUCUGAAGGUUGAUUCAUUGCCACCAAGACAAAGUGAGCAGCAAGCUCCUGAUGUUUGAUCUGCAGUUGUGCAGGAGCCUAGCAUUUCUUGCUUCCAAUUUUUAAAAAAAAUGAUCUUGGACUUCUUUAUUUAAAGUC
rnacentral:lncRNA from 1 species